CACCCGAUCCCAUACCGAACUCGGCCGUGAAAAUCUACAGCGCUGAUGGUACUUUGUCUUAAGGCACGGGAGAGUAAGUCGCUGCCUGGUCU
rnacentral:rRNA from 1 species